UACGUAGGGUGCGAGCGUUAAUCGGAAUUACUGGGCGUAAAGCGUGCGCAGGCGGUUUUGUAAGCCAGGUGUGAAAUCCCCGGGCUUAACCUGGGAAUGGCAUUUGGGACUGCAAGGCUGGAGUGCGGCAGAGGAGACUGGAAUUCCUGGUGUAGCAGUGAGAUGCGUAGAUAUCAGGAGGAAUACCGAUGGCGAAGGCAGGUCUCUGGGCUGACACUGACGCUCAUGCACGAAAGCGUGGGGAGCAAACAGG
rnacentral:rRNA from 1 species